rnacentral:rRNA from 1 species
UACAGAGGUCCCAAGCGUUGUUCGGAUUCAUUGGGCGUAAAGGGUGCGUAGGUGGCGUCGUAAGUCGGGUGUGAAAUUUCGGAGCUCAACUCCGAAACUGCAUUCGAUACUGCGGUGCUUGAGGACUGGAGAGGAGACUGGAAUUUACGGUGUAGCAGUGAAAUGCGUAGAGAUCGUAAGGAAGACCAGUGGCGAAGGCGGGUCUCUGGACAGUUCCUGACACUGAGGCACGAAGGCCAGGGGAGCGAACGGG